rnacentral:tRNA from 1 species
GCUGGUUUGGCUCAGUGGACAGAGCAUCAGUCCGAGGACUGAAGGGUCCUGGGUUCAAUUCCAGGCAAGGGCA